AUGUGUGUACUAUCGCCAUGGUGGGGCGAGGGAGUUAUCCUUUGCUUGUAUGUUGAUGACAUACUGAUUUUCGAAACAAAUCUUAAUGUUAUUAAGGAGGUCAAGAAUUUCCUAUCUCGCUGUUUUGAGAUGAAGGAUUUAGGAGUGGCUGAUGUCAUUCUGAACAUCAAGUUGUUGAGAGACGAUGAGGGUGGGAUUACAUUGCUUCAAUCUCACUAUGUGGAAAAGAUCUUGAGUCGCUUUGGCUAUAGUGACUACAAACCCUCUCCAACACCAUAUGAUGCUAGUGUGCUGCUUCGAAAGAAUCAAAGAAUUGCUAGAGAUCAAUUGAAGUAUUCUCAGAUUAUUGGCUCGCUUAUGUACUUAGCCAGUGCUACAAGACCUGGCAUCUCUUUUGAUGUUAGUAAACUGAGUCGGUUUGUCUCAAAACCAGGAGAUGUACAUUGGAAAGCUCUAGAGAGAGUUUUGCGUUACUUGAAAGGCAUUGCCAAUUAUGGAAUUCACUACACUGGGCACCCAAAGGUGCUUGAAGGGUAUAGUGACUCAAACUGGAUCUCAGAUGCUGAUGAGAUAAAGGCCACGAGCGGAUAUGUAUUCACUCAUGGAGGUGGCGCUGUUUCUUGGAAGUCUUGCAAGCAGACCAUCUUAACGAGGUCAACAAUGGAAGCAUAA
rnacentral:rRNA from 1 species